rnacentral:rRNA from 1 species
CCUGCCAGUAGUCAUAUGCUUGUCUCAAAGAUUAAGCCAUGCAUGUCUAAGUACAAGCCGAAAUAAGGUGAAACCGCGAAAGGCUCAUUAAAUCAGUUAUGGUUCCUUAGAUCGUACCCACAUUUACUUGGAUAACUGUGGUAAUUCUAGAGCUAAUACAUGCAAACCGAGCCCCGACCAGAGAUGGGAGGGGUGCUUUUAUUAGAUCAAAACCAAUCGGCGGCGUUCGCGCGUCGUCGUAUUCUUUGGUGACUCUGAAUAACUUGUUGCUGAUCGCACGGUCUCGUACCGGCGACGCAUCUUUCAAAUGUCUGCCUUAUCAACUGUCGAUGGUAGGAUCUGCGCCUACCAUGGUUGUAACGGGUAACGGGGAAUCAGGGUUCGAUUCCGGAGAGGGAGCCUGAGAAACGGCUACCACAUCCAAGGAAGGCAGCAGGCGCGCAAAUUACCCACUCCCGGCACGGGGAGGUAGUGACGAAAAAUAACGAUACGGGACUCAUCCGAGGCCCCGUAAUCGGAAUGAGUACAGUCUAAACCUCUUAACGAGGAUCUAUUGGAGGGCAAGUCUGGUGCCAGCAGCCGCGGUAAUUCCAGCUCCAAUAGCGUAUAUUAAA